rnacentral:rRNA from 1 species
AUACGGAGGGUGCGAGCGUUAAUCGGAAUUACUGGGCGUAAAGCGUGCGUAGGCGGUUUGCUAAGUCAGAUGUGAAAGCCCCGGGCUUAACCUGGGAACUGCAUUUGAUACUGGCAGACUAGAGUAUGAUAGAGGGGGGUAGAAUUCCUGGUGUAGCGGUGAAAUGCGUAGAUAUCAGGAGGAAUACCAGUGGCGAAGGCGGCCCACUGGAUCAAUACUGACGCUGAGGUACGAAAGCGUGGGGAGCGAACAGGAUUAGAAACCCCAGUAGUCC